GUAAAGUCGAGAAAAUCAUGGAAUCGUAACGAAACUUCCUCGUCUCUCUCUGAUAAUUCAUCCAACUCAAGUGGUGUAUUUUGUGGUUACAUUUACAUAUAUUGUCAACACCAACUGUCGAAUUCAUUAAAUCGGCUAAAAUACGUUGAUGUGAUUCUGGAAAUAUCUUUAGGACAGUAUAUGAGUUAUUCAUCUUGUUCAUUUUCCACUUUCCACUGCGGACACCAUACGGACACACAACCGGUUCUGAAAUGCGUCACGCUCUUCUUCCUUUCAUUCCAACUUUAAUACAUGCAUGAAGUCGUAGUUCGGAGUUCAUACUAAAUUUCGGUCACUUUGUAAUAAGAAAACUAUUAACAUUUUUCUUUUUCUUUUUUUAAACGUUAGCUAGGCCUCAAAGUUUCACAAAAAAAAAAGAAAAAAAAAAGCUAGGCGUCGAAAUCCAUAACUUCAAAAGGCCUUCUUACAUUCAUCCAAUCU